GACGAACGCUGGCGGCAGGCCUAACACAUGCAAGUCGAACGAGUGGCGGACGGGUGAGUAAUGUCUGGGAAACUGCCCGAUGGAGGGGGAUAACUACUGGAAACGGUAGCUAAUACCGCAUACCAUCGGAUUUGCCCCGAUGGGAUUAGCUAGUGGGUGGGGUAACGGCUCACCUAGGCGACGAUCCCUAGCUGGUCUGAGAGGAUGACCAGCCACACGGGAACUGAGAAACGGGCCAGACUCCUAAGGGAGGCAGCAGUGGGGAAUAUGGGACAAUGGGCGCAAGCCGGAUGCAGCCAUGCCGCGUGUAUGAAGAAGGCCUUCGGGUUGUAAAGUAUUUUCAGCGAGGAGGCGUUACUCGCAGAAGAAGCACCGGCUAACUCCGUGCCAGCAGCCGCGGUAAUUC
rnacentral:rRNA from 1 species